rnacentral:rRNA from 1 species
CGGCGGUGGGACAAUGCCAGGCGGGGAGUUUGACUGGGGCGGUCGCCUCCGAAAGGGUAUCGGAGGCGCCCAAAGGUUCCCUCAGAAUGGACGGAAACCAUUCGAAGAGUGCAAAGGCAGAAGGGAGCUUGACUGCGACACCGACGGGUGGAGCAGGUACGAAAGUAGGGCUUAGUGAUCCGGUGGUAUUAAGUGGGAAUGCCAUCGCUCAACGGAUAAAAGCUACCCUGGGGAUAACAGGCUUAUCACUCCCAAGAGUUCACAUCGACGGAGUGGUUUGGCACCUCGAUGUCGGCUCAUCGCAUCCUGGGGCUGUAGUAGGUCCCAAGGGUUGGGCUGUUCGCCCAUUAAAGCGGUACGCGAGCUGGGUUCAGAACGUCGUGAGACAGUUCGGUCCCUAUCCGGCGUGGGCGUAGGAUAUCUGAGAGGAGCUGUCCUUAGUACGAGAGGACCGGGAUGGACGGACCGCUGGUGGACCGGUUGGCUUGCCAAAGCCAUGGCCGGGUAGCCAAGUCCGGAAGGGAUAAACGCUGAAGGCAUCUAAGCGUGAAGCCCCCCUCAAGAUGAGAUAUCCCAUUCUUUAAGAAGUAAACCCCCUUGAAGACGACGAGGUAGAUAGGGCAGAGGUGGAAGUGUGGUAACACAUGGAGCUGACUGUUACUAAUCGGGUGAGGGCUUGACCAAAA